rnacentral:rRNA from 1 species
CGCGGCCUAUCAGCUUGUUGGUGGGGUAGUGGCUUACCAAGGCCUUGACGGGUAGCCGGCCUGAGAGGGUGACCGGCCACAUUGGGACUGAGAUACGGCCCAGACUCCUACGGGAGGCAGCAGUGGGGAAUAUUGCACAAUGGGCGGAAGCCUGAUGCAGCAACGCCGCGUGCGGGAUGACGGCCUUCGGGUUGUAAACCGCUUUCGCCUGUGACGAAGCGUGAGUGACGGUAAUGGGUAAAGAAGCACCGGCUGACUACGUGCCAGCAGCCGCGGUGAUACGUAGGGUGCGAGCGUUGUCCGGAUUUAUUGGGCGUAAAGGGCUCGUAGGUGGUUGAUCGCGUCGGAAGUGUAAUCUUGGGGCUUAACCCUGAGCGUGCUUUCGAUACGGGUUGACUUGAGGAAGGUAGGGGAGAAUGGAAUUCCUGGUGGAGCGGUGGAAUGCGCAGAUAUCAGGAGGAACACCAGUGGCGAAGGCGGUUCUCUGGGCCUUUCCUGACGCUGAGGAGCGAAAGCGUGGGGAGCGAACAGGCUUAGAUACCCUGGUAGUCCACGCUGUAAACGGUGGGUACUAGGUGUGGGGUCCAUUCCACGGGUUCCGUGCCGUAGCUAACGCUUUAAGUACCCCGCCUGGGGAGUACGG